rnacentral:rRNA from 1 species
AGUGAACGCUGGCGGCGUGCUUAACACAUGCAAGUCGAACGAGAACGGAUUAUAGCUUGCUAUAAUUGUCAGCUAAGUGGCGCACGGGUGAGUAAUGUAUAGGUAAUAUGCCUCUUACUAAGGGAUAACAAAUGGAAACGUUUGCUAAUACCUUAUACUCCUUAUUAACAGAAGUUAAUAAGGGAAAGAUUUAUUGGUAAGAGAUUAGCCUGUAUUGUAUCAGUUAGUUGGUGGGGUAAUGGCUUACCAAGACUAUGACACAUAACUGGUUUGAGAGGAUGAUCAGUCACACUGGAACUGAGACACGGUCCAGACUCCUACGGGAGGCAGCAGUGGGGAAUAUUGCACAAUGGACGAAAGUCUGAUGCAGCAACGCCGCGUGGAGGAUGACACAUUUCGGUGCGUAAACUCCUUUUAUAUGAGAAGAUAAUGACGGUAUUAUAUGAAUAAGCACCGGCUAACUCCGUGCCAGCAGCCGCGGUAAUACGGGGGGUGCAAGCGUUACUCGGAAUCACUGGGCGUAAAGAGCAUGUAGGCGGAUUAAUAAGUUUGAAGUGAAAUCCUAUAGCUUAACUAUAGAACUGCUUUGAAAACUGUUAAUCUAGAAUGUGGGAGAGGUAGAUGGAAUUUCUGGUGUAGGGGUAAAAUCCGUAGAGAUCAGAAGGAAUACCGAUUGCGAAGGCGAUCUACUGGAACAUUAUUGACGCUGAGAUGCGAAAGCGUGGGGAGCAAACAGGAUUAGAUACCCUGGUAGUCCACGCCCUAAACGAUGUACACUAGUUGUUGUGAGACUUGAUCUUGCAGUAAUGCAGUUAACACAUUAAGUGUACCGCCUGGGGAGUACGGUCGCAAGAUUAAAACUCAA